AUGAGUCGCCGGCUCAUUCUUCAACAGGCACGCGGUCAGAGCCCUCAGCUCCUCCCACUGCUUGGGAGCUUACGGUUUCAUGUUCUAUUUCACUCCCCGCCGGGGGUUCUUUUCACCUUUCCCUCACGGUACUACUUCACUAUCGGUCACCCAGGAGUAUUUAGCCUUGCAAGGUGGUCCUUGCUGAUUCACACGGGAUUUCACGUGCCCCAUGCUACUCGGGUCAGAGCAUAA